UACCAGCACCCCGAGUGGUCGGGACGUUUAUUGGGCCUAAAGCAUCCGUAGCCGGUUCUACAAGUCUUCCGUUAAAUCCACCUGCUUAACAGAUGGGCUGCGGAAGAUACUAUGGAGCUAGGAGGCGGGAGAGGCAAGCGGUACUCGAUGGGUAGGGGUAAAAUCCGUUGAUCCAUUGAAGACCACCAGUGGCGAAGGCGGCUUGCCAGAACGCGCUCGACGGUGAGGGAUGAAAGCUGGGGGAGCAAACCGGG
rnacentral:rRNA from 1 species